CAUUCCAAGUAAUUGCUCCCAAUCGACUCGCUGAAUUUUCUCAUUGAGUGCAGUCAUGUCACAUCGAUGAAAAUCGAAACGUUCAAUCUUUUCUUCGAAAAAACGGUGUACCUCAAUUUGCUGCAUACAAGGUGAAUGCAACUCGUAAAGCGAGAUGUGAGUAUUCGGAGUGCGUCGUCUCCAGUGAGAGAAACGGACGAGCACUUAAAAUCGGUUUUAACGCAAAUCAGUACACCACCAUCUCGACAAUAUUGACUAUUAGCAUUAUUUCGAUCGCAACGAGAGAGUGUAUAAUCGUUGGUUAGCUCCGAAUCAAAAAUAUCAUCCUUCAGCCAAGUCUCGUUAAAAACAAUGACAUCAUAAUCACACGAAGCAAGAGCAACAAAAAGAUCAUUUAUAUGGUUCGAAACCCUCUAACGUUUUGAUAGUAAAUAGUCAGCGAACUUCGAACGGAAAAAAACUAGAGCUUGGUGAUCAGCUGUGAUCGAACUACAGGUUCGGAUUUGCUCGGAUACACAUUUGUUUGACAGAGUGACGUCACUGUGAUGAGCUGGUCGAUGCGGUUGGUGGGCGAAAGAUGUUUCGUGGCGUUUAUUGCCCGGAAUCGAAUUUGCGAAAAAUAAUUCCCUUCUGCCACGAUGAACUUUGAAGGGCCAAAUCCUUCAGGUGUAAACCAAUGUCGACUUUGAACGAAACGAAGUGGAACAGUAAUUUCAGCAUCUAUUUCUUUCGUUUCUUCGACCUUUUUUGCACCGGGACCGUCAUUAUUAGAGUUGUAGUCGUCCCCUUCUUGCAAACGUCGGCGCUUUCGUGUGGGAUGUAAUGCGAUAAACUGCUUGUUAGGACUCAGUGGUUGUGUGUCCGAUGUAGAGCUGGGCAAAAUUAUGAAAUAAAAUUGCCUGAUGAGAAAAAUUGAUAA